rnacentral:rRNA from 1 species
GAUGAACGCUAGCGGCAGGCUUAACACAUGCAAGUCGAGGGGUAUAGGUUUUCGGACCUAGAGACCGGCGCACGGGUGCGUAACGCGUAUGCAAUCUACCUUUUGCAGAGGGAUAGCCCAGAGAAAUUUGGAUUAAUACCUCAUAGUAUAUGGACUUCGCAUGGAGACCAUAUUAAAGUUCCAACGGCAAAGAUGAGCAUGCGUCCCAUUAGCUAGAUGGUAAGGUAACGGCUUACCAUGGCUACGAUGGGUAGGGGUCCUGAGAGGGAGAUCCCCCACACUGGUACUGAGACACGGACCAGACUCCUACGGAAGGCAGCAGUGAGGAAUAUUGGACAAUGGGCGCAAGCCUGAUCCAGCCAUGCCGCGUGCAGGAAGAAGCAUCUAUGGUGUGUAAACUGCUUUUGUACGGGAAGAAACACUCCUACGUGUAGGAGCUUGACGGUACCGUAAGAAUAAGGAUCGGCUAACUCCGUGCCAGCAGCC